AGUGAACGCUGGCGGCAGGCCUAACACAUGCAAGUCGAGCGGCAGCGGGUCCUUCGGGAUGCCGGCGAGCGGCGGACGGGUGAGGAAUGCAUCGGAAUCUGCCCUGUCGUGGGGGAUAACCUAGGGAAACUUAGGCUAAUACCGCAUACGACCCACGGGUGAAAGCGGGGGAUCGCAAGACCUCGCGCGAUAGGAUGAGCCGAUGUCCGAUUAGCUAGUUGGCGGGGUAAAGGCCCACCAAGGCGACGAUCGGUAGCUGGUCCGAGAGGAUGAGCAGCCACACUGGGACUGAGACACGGCCCAGACUCCUACGGUAGGCCGCAGUGCGGAAUAUUGGACAAUGGGCGCAAGCCUGAUCCAGCCAUGCCGCGUGGGUGAAGAAGGCCUUCGGGUUGUAAAGCCCUUUUGUCCGGGAGGAAGUCGUCUGGGCUAAUACCCCGGGCGGAUGACGGUACCGGAAGAAUAAGCACCGGCUAACUUCGUG
rnacentral:rRNA from 1 species